rnacentral:rRNA from 1 species
GUGCCAGCCGCCGCGGUAAUACGAAGGGUGCAAGCGUUAAUCGGAAUUACUGGGCGUAAAGCGUGCGUAGGCGGUUGCUUAAGUCAGAUGUGAAAGCCCUGGGCUCAACCUGGGAAUGGCAUUUGAAACUGGGCAGCUAGAGUGUGAUAGAGGAUGGCGGAAUUCCCGGUGUAGCGGUGAAAUGCGUAGAGAUCGGGAGGAACAUCCGUGGCGAAGGCGGCCAUCUGGAUCAACACUGACGCUGAGGCACGAAAGCGUGGGGAGCAAACAGGAUUAGAAACCCCCGUAGUCC